rnacentral:rRNA from 1 species
GGAUUCAAGCGUUAUCCGGAUUUAUUGGGUUUAAAGGGUGCGUAGGCGGUUUGAUAAGUUAGAGGUGAAAUUUCGGGGCUCAACCCUGAACGUGCCUCUAAUACUGUUGAGCUAGAGAGUAGUUGCGGUAGGCGGAAUGUAUGGUGUAGCGGUGAAAUGCUUAGAGAUCAUACAGAACACCGAUUGCGAAGGCAGCUUACCAAACUAUAUCUGACGUUGAGGCACGAAAGCGUGGGGAGCA